UCUCUGAUCUCCCUAAUGGCAGUAAUGUAGUAUCUCUUGAGUCUUGAGAGUUGAGUGAGUGGCUGAGACUCUGAGUUCAUCAAUCAGCCUCAUCAGUCACCGCCGAAGUCACCAGUCACCGCCGAUACCCCCCUCAGCCAACCUCGUCUCUCCGUCACCCUCGUCGUCACUCUCCGCGGCGUCGUUCCUUCUCCCGGCCGUCACUGCUUCUCCCCUCACCUCGUCGUGUUCGUUGCUAUAUUGGUCGUUUGUGGGUUGUGCUUCUUGUGCUUCUACUUCACUGCUUUUGCUUCUGUCCUUUCUCGGCGCCUCACCUGGUCGUCAAAAAGCUCAGAGCUUGUGCUCCCUCAGAAUUUUAAAUAUGGCUUCAUCUCAAACACCAUCAGAAAUGCCACCAUCUCAUGAACAAGCAUCAUCAGCAACUCCUACCCCUGAUCUUACCACUAAAAGAGUUUAUAAUAAUAGAGGAAAGACUGAUCCAGCUUGGAGUCAUUGUAAACAAAUUGUGGAAAAAACAGGGAAAAUUACUAUGAUGUGCAUAUAUUGUGACAAACCUGUUAGGGGAGGUGGGAUUAAUCGAUUUAAGUAUCACUUGGCUGGAAAAGAAGGAGAUGUUGAGAAGUGCAAAAAGGUUCCACCUGCUGUUGCUCAUCAAUUUGGGCAAAAUAUUGAAGAAUUUAUGAAUAAGAAAAGGAAAACUCAAGAAAAUUAUGCAGAAAGUUAUGGAGCAUGUGAUGAUAUUGAGGCUAUAACAAAGAUUCAUCGCCGUUUUUAACUGCUGAAGAGGUUGAUGCUCUACAAAAUGAUUUGACAAAUAUGUCCAUUCAACCAACUUUGGAUGAUCUUGAUCAAUUAAAUUUGGAAGAUGACCAAGAUAAUGAUGGACCAAGUAACAAUGCUAUGGAAGAUAUGGAUACAAAUCAAAAUGAAGAAAAUGUUGAUCAAGCUCCUAAUUUACCCUGUGAAGAUGUUGAUGUGGACUUUGGGCUCACCCCUUGGACUUGAUUUAAUGAUUGUGUUAUCUUUAACUUGCUCUUGUUGAUUUAAAUUGAGAACAUAUUUUAUACUAGAAACAAGUUUAUUAACUCUUCUUUUAGAUUAUUAGUUAUGUUUAAGACUUGAUAUUUGAUUAUUAAUGUUUGUAAGACUCACAUUUUAAGUUUUAAGACAUUAUUUUAAUUUUAUUAAUAUAAUUUUAUAUUUUUUUAGUUAUGACCGAGUUAAUCGGGUGAAUUAGUGACCCACCGGUUGAACCAGUGAUCCGGUAAUCCGGUCAUAUGACCGGAUUGAUUACCGGUUCGGUUCUGAUAACUAUGCUUGAUAUCAUCAUGUGUUGAACAUUCUUUUUCUUUUUGUGAGGACUAAGUCUAAUUUUUGGGUGUCUCUUUGCACUCAUUGUACCACAACUCUAAUCAGAUUUUUAGGGUCAUUGAGAGGUAGAGAGUAUAGCCACCAAAGUGAGGGAGAAGAGGA